GAUGAACGCUGGCGGCGUGCCUAAUACAUGCAAGUCGAGCGAACGGACGAGAAGCUUGCUUCUCUGAUGUUAGCGGCGGACGGGUGAGUAACACGUGGAUAACCUACCUAUAAGACUGGGAUAACUUCGGGAAACCGGAGCUAAUACCGGAUGAUAUUUUGAACCGCAUGGUUCAAAAGUGAAAGACGGUCUUGCUGUCACUUAUAGCUGGAUCCGCGCUGCAUUAGCUAGUUGGUAAGGUAACGGCUUACCAAGGCAACGAUGCAUAGCCGACCUGCGAGGGUGAUCGGCCACACUAGAACUGAGACACGGUCCUGACUCCUACGGGAGGCAGCAGUAGGGAAUCUUCCGCAAUGGGCGAAAGCCUGACGGAGCAACGCCGCGUGAGUGAUGAAGGUCUUCGGAUCGUAAAACUCUGUUAUUAGGGAAGAACAUAUGUGUAAGUAACUGUGCACAUCUUGACGGUACCUAAUCAGAAAGCCACGGCUAACUACGUG
rnacentral:rRNA from 1 species